GGAACUUGAAGCAGUGUUACCAAGUUUUCUUACAUGGGGCAUCACAUUGGAUUUCAUCUGUAUUGCACAAAAGGUUACAAUUUCCCACCCAAGUAUGCAAUCUCAUUAGUACUUUGCCUAUGAUGCCUUUCAUAGUGUGUGUGUGUGUGUGUGUGUGUGUUUCUGAGUGUCUCACAGUUUCUCCGGUGCUAGGGUCCCUGCCUGCAUUUUUGCGGAAUCAAUUUACCAUAUCAACUGGAAUGCUAAAGCGGGCGGAGACCUUUUACAGAAGUUUUCAGACCUGGCCACACUUGACCACCAUUACUUGGGCGUUUUCGUUUUUACUUUUUAGCAAAAUAUUGAAAUGAAAAUGUUGUUUUCUAGUCUCACCUUUAGAAAUUUGGAUUCAGUGUGGAUCAAACAAUUCUUGAAAC
ensembl:processed_transcript Gm17191 predicted gene 17191